rnacentral:lncRNA from 1 species
AUGAGUGAGUCGAGCUUGAAGUCCAGCCAGCCCUUGGCCUCCAAGCAGGAAAUGGACAGCACUGAGAAGCGGGGCCGGGGCAGGCCCCGCAAGCAGCCUCUGGUGAGUUCCGGGACAGCACUGGUAGGGAGUCAGAAGGAGCCCAGUGAAGUGCCAACACCUAAGAGACCUUGGGGCCAACCAAAGGGAAGCAAAAACAAGGGAGCUGCCAAGACCCGGAAAACCACCACAACUCCAGGAAGGAAACCAAGGGGCAGACCCAAAAAACUGGAGAAGGAGGAAGAGGAGGGCAUCUGGCAGGAGUCCUCAGAGGAGGAGCAGUGA